AUUGAACGCUGGCGGCAUGCUUUACACAUGCAAGUCGAACGGUAACAGGUUAAGCUGACGAGUGGCGAACGGGUGAGUAAUGCAUCGGAACGUGCCCGAUCGUGGGGGAUAACGCAGCGAAAGCUGCGCUAAUACCGCAUACGAUCUGAGGAUGAAAGCGGGGGACCGUAAGGCCUCGCGCGAUUGGAGCGGCCGAUGUCAGAUUAGGUAGUUGGUGGGGUAAAGGCUCACCAAGCCAACGAUCUGUAGCUGGGCUGAGAGGACGACCAGCCACACUGGGACUGAGACCCGGCCCAGACUCCUACGGGAGGCAGCAGUGGGGAAUUUUGGACAAUGGGCGCAAGCCUGAUCCAGCAAUGCCGCGUGCAGGAAGAAGGCCUUCGGGUUGUAAACUGCUUUUGUACGGAACGAAACGGCGAGCUCUAAUACAGUUUGCUAAUGACGGUACCGUAAGAAUAAGCACCGGCUAACUACGUGCCAGCCGCCGCGGUAAAAC
rnacentral:rRNA from 1 species